CAUUUUCCAUUCUUUCUCUCCCAAAAGCUUCGUCCCUUCUCUCUCACCAAAAACCCUAGUUCAUUCUCAACUUCAUUCCAUAAUAACCAUUAACCCUUGUUCAAAUUCCUCACAAACUUCAUCAAACGUAAAUAUAGUGUCAUGGAGUACUUCUAAACCUAAUUUUGUCCUAAAAAACCUAUCACCUCUCUCACCCCAACAAUAUCUCUCCGCAACACACAAACCUUUAAACCCAUCUCCAUCAAAUGCGCCGCCACAACCCAAGCCCAGCUACAAACCCAAACCCAAUUUCAAUCCUCAGACCGUGUCUUCAACUUUGCUGCCGCCAUAUGAACCGCUCUCAGCCACGUCGAGAAUCUCAUCACUGGUUUCACCAAGGGGUUCUGCUACAAAAUGAGGUUUGUGUAUGCUCAUUUUCCUAUCAACGCUAGCAUUACCAAUGAUAACAAGUCCAUCGAGAUCCGUAACUUUCUCGGUGAGAAGAAGGUGAGGGAAGUGGAUUUGCUUGAUGGAGUUCAAUUGUUCGAUCUGAGAAGGUGAAGGAUGAUGUUGUUUUAGAUGGAAAUGACAUUGAACUUUUUUCUCGAUCAUGUGCUCUUAUUAACCAGGUACAUUUUUGUGAAGUGUGAACCUUUAACCAAAACAGAACCUGAUCUUCAGUAUUGUUUAUUAUUCACUAUAUGCAACUAACGAUACAAUUUCAGAUGAAUUCUACACCAAAAUUGAUAGUCAAAGGUUUGAGAAACAACACAAAUCCAAACAAAUGUCAGCUCUUCAUAAACUUAGUACCUCUCUCGAAUAAAUGAUUUAGCCAAUACUGCUUAAUGUUAUUCAUUUUGGGGGUGCUUGUGCUAUUAUACUUACUAGCUUGUUGACAUGUGCUAAUACUGAGUUUACUUUUUAUUUUAUUUUGAAGGCUUUGUUGAAAAUGGGAGUUCGUUGUGUCACUGUAUCUGAUAUUAUCAGAAGGCGUCUGAUGUUAAUAACAUCAUCUCUCAUGUUUUACUUUAGUGGUUUGGUCAUGUUGUGGGCUCCGAACGUUCCGGUGAUUCUAUUUUCAAGGCUAUUGAGUGGAAUUGGAAUUGCAUUAGCCAUGACUAUAACUCCUCUUUACAUAUCUGAGAUAGCACCGCCUGAUAUCAGAGGCUUACUCAACACUCUCCCUCAUCUUUCAUGCUCUUUGGGAAUGUUCUAGGCUUAUCUCUUGUUUUUCACUAUUUCUUUGACGAAAUUGCCGAGAUGGUGCGGCAUGCUUGCUGUGGUUUCUAUUUAUUCUGUUGUUUAUUUUUUUCUCGCCUUGUUUUAUUUCCCCGAAUCUCCUCCUUGGCUUGUGAGUAAAGGUAGAUUAUCUGAAGUUAAGAGAGUUCUGCAAAGAAUUCGCCGCGUUGAAGAUGUUUCAGGAGAAUUAGCUUUGUAAUCUGAGGGAAUGAAUCCUAGAGGUGAAUCUAUCAUUUUAGAAGAAUACAUAGUUGCACCAGCAAAUGAACUCAUUUCAAACAAGGAAGCAGGGAAAGAUUGUAUAAAGCUGGAAAGAUUUGUUAGACCCUGGUGUAAAGAGAGCAUUAUUUGUUGGAAUAGGACUUCAAGCUCUUCAGCAGUCUUGAAGGUCUUGCUUCCCCAUGUUGCCCUAGCCGCCUUCAUUGAAGCAUUUGUCACCUUGACUCUGCUUGUUUUUUGUUUGUAUCACAUGCCCUUUUCCCACUUAUAUCAGCUAUCACAUAAACACCAAACCUUCUUGACCUUAAAACAGGUUAUUUCAACUUGAGACAAAUUAAAGCAGCUACUAAUGACUUUGACCCUGCAAAUAAGAUUGGUGAAGGGGGAUUUGGGUCGGUAUUCAAGGUUACAGAGAUGGAGACCCAGGAGAUGGAGACCCAACUGACAAUGCUACAAGAAUCUAUACAUGGUUUACUGAGGUUUGAAGUUACAUUACACCACUUUUAAGUAAAUUUUUGGGGUUUAAGGUCUCUCUCUGUCUCUCAUAUUUUCUCAUUCAUAUGGUUUACUUAAAGCUGAUUUUAUUGUGUAUUAUGAAGAUGCUUUAACAAGAAGACCUGUUAAGUGGAUCUUCUCCUCAGCUCAUGUGAUGACAUUUGAGGUUGGAGUAGUGCUUGAGGAUUCCAAUCGGCAGGCUCCUGUGUACUGUUUCAAUCAGACUGAGAAGAUUUUGGAAUCGGCUGCUGUUCGUGGUGAUUCUUUUGGGAGUUUGAUGAGGGGCAAAUUUGACGAUGUUCGUGACAUUUAAGGAAAUGGAUUAAAUUGUAUAUGCCUUAUCUAUUUCUGUUUUGGGGAUAGGUAAGGAUUGUUUAGUGUAGUCAAAUAUUUAUAUCAAUUUUCCAUCAUCGUCUUGUAGGGAUAUGGAUGCAUCAUUGUUUUCAUCCAAGCUCAUAUGUCAAGUUCUUUUAGUUCAUCUCAUCUUAAAAUUUUGGGAGAUGAUGAACUGAAUUGCUAAGUCUCAUAAGGGAUAAAAUAUAACUUAUUUUGAUGUAAAUAGGUAAUCUAGUGAUUAAUUAUAUAAGUAGUAGUAAUAAUUUUGUAA